rnacentral:rRNA from 1 species
GAUGAACGCUGGCGGCGUGCUUAACACAUGCAAGUCGAGCGAUGAAGUCGAGCUUGCUGGCUGGAUUAGUGGCGAACGGGUGCGUAACACGUGAGUAACUUGCCAUUAACCCUUUCAUAAGCCGGGGACACUGGGACUAUUACCGGAUAGGAGCGUGCACUGCAUGGAGGGUGUUGGAAUGGUUUAUCGGUUUUGGAUGGACUCGCGGCCUAUCAGCUUGUUGGUGGGGUCAUGGCUCAGCAAGGCGACGACGGGUAGGCGGCCUGAGAGGGUGACCGACCACACGGCGACUGAGACACGGCACGGAGUCGUGCGGGAGACAGCAGUGUGGAAUAUUGCACGAUGGAGCCAAGCAGGGUGCAGCAUCGCCGCGUGAGGGGUGACGGCCUUCUGUUAGUAGGCGUCUAUCAGUAGGGAAGGAGCGAUAUUGACGGUACCGGCAGAAGAAGCACCGGCUAACUACGUG